GGGACACGUGGUAUCCUGUCUGAAUAUGGGGGGACCAUCCUCCAAGGCUAAAUACUCCUGACUGACCGAUAGUGAACCAGUACCGUGAGGGAAAGGCGAAAAGAACCCCGGCGAGGGGAGUGAAAAAGAACCUGAAACCGUGUACGUACAAGCAGUGGGAGCACCUUCGGGUGUGACUGCGUACCUUUUGUAUAAUGGGUCAGCGACUUAUAUUCUGUAGCAAGGUUAACCGUAUAGGGGAGCCGCAGGGAAACCGAGUCUUAACUGGGCGUUAAGUUGCAGGGUAUAGACCCGAAACCCGGUGAUCUAGCCAUGGGCAGGUUGAAGGUUGGGUAACACUAACUGGAGGACCGAACCGACUAAUGUUGAAAAAUUAGCGGAUGACUUGUGGCUGGGGGUGAAAGGCCAAUCAAACCGGGAGAUAGCUGGUUCUCCCCGAAAGCUAUUUAGGUAGC
rnacentral:rRNA from 1 species